GGUUAAGCGACUAAGCGUACACGGUGGAUGCCCUGGCAGUCAGAGGCGAUGAAGGACGUGCUAAUCUGCGAUAAGCGUCGGUAAGGUGAUAUGAACCGUUAUAACCGGCGAUUUCCGAAUGGGGAAACCCAGUGUGAUUCGUCACACUAUCAUUAACUGAAUCCAUAGGUUAAUGAGGCGAACCGGGGGAACUGAAACAUCUAAGUACCCCGAGGAAAAGAAAUCAACCGAGAUUCCCCCAGUAGCGGCGAGCGAACGGGGAGCAGCCCAGAGCCUGAAUCAGUGUGUGUGUUAGUGGAAGCGUCUGGAAAGGCGCGCGAUACAGGGUGACAGCCCCGUACACAAAAAUGCACAUGCUGUGAGCUCGAUGAGUAGGGCGGGACACGUGGUAUCCUGUCUGAAUAUGGGGGGACCAUCCUCCAAGGCUAAAUACUCCUGACUGACCGAUAGUGAACCAGUACCGUGAGGGAAAGGCGAAAAGAACCCCGGCGAGGGGAGUGAAAAAGAACCUGAAACCGUGUACGUACAAGCAGUGGGAGCACAGAGCAAUCUGUGUGACUGCGUACCUUUUGUAUAAUGGGUCAGCGACUUAUAUUCUGUAGCAAGGUUAACCGAAUAGGGGAGCCGAAGGGAAACCGAGUCUUAACUGGGCGUUAAGUUGCAGGGUAUAGACCCGAAACCCGGUGAUCUAGCCAUGGGCAGGUUGAAGGUUGGGUAACACUAACUGGAGGACCGAACCGACUAAUGUUGAAAAAUUAGCGGAUGACUUGUGGCUGGGGGUGAAAGGCCAAUCAAACCGGGAGAUAGCUGGUUCUCCCCGAAAGCUAUUUAGGUAGCGCCUCGUGAAUUCAUCUCCGGGGGUAGAGCACUGUUUCGGCAAGGGGGUCAUCCCGACUUACCAACCCGAUGCAAACUGCGAAUACCGGAGAAUGUUAUCACGGGAGACACACGGCGGGUGCUAACGUCCGUCGUGAAGAGGGAAACAACCCAGACCGCCAGCUAAGGUCCCAAAGUCAUGGUUAAGUGGGAAACGAUGUGGGAAGGCCCAGACAGCCAGGAUGUUGGCUUAGAAGCAGCCAUCAUUUAAAGAAAGCGUAAUAGCUCACUGGUCGAGUCGGCCUGCGCGGAAGAUGUAACGGGGCUAAACCAUGCACCGAAGCUGCGGCAGCGACGCUUAUGCGUUGUUGGGUAGGGGAGCGUUCUGUAAGCCUGUGAAGGUGUACUGUGAGGUAUGCUGGAGGUAUCAGAAGUGCGAAUGCUGACAUAAGUAACGAUAAAGCGGGUGAAAAGCCCGCUCGCCGGAAGACCAAGGGUUCCUGUCCAACGUUAAUCGGGGCAGGGUGAGUCGACCCCUAAGGCGAGGCCGAAAGGCGUAGUCGAUGGGAAACAGGUUAAUAUUCCUGUACUUGGUGUUACUGCGAAGGGGGGACGGAGAAGGCUAUGUUGGCCGGGCGACGGUUGUCCCGGUUUAAGCGUGUAGGCUGGUUUUCCAGGCAAAUCCGGAAAAUCAAGGCUGAGGCGUGAUGACGAGGCACUACGGUGCUGAAGCAACAAAUGCCCUGCUUCCAGGAAAAGCCUCUAAGCAUCAGGUAACAUCAAAUCGUACCCCAAACCGACACAGGUGGUCAGGUAGAGAAUACCAAGGCGCUUGAGAGAACUCGGGUGAAGGAACUAGGCAAAAUGGUGCCGUAACUUCGGGAGAAGGCACGCUGAUAUGUAGGUGAAGUCCCUCGCGGAUGGAGCUGAAAUCAGUCGAAGAUACCAGCUGGCUGCAACUGUUUAUUAAAAACACAGCACUGUGCAAACACGAAAGUGGACGUAUACGGUGUGACGCCUGCCCGGUGCCGGAAGGUUAAUUGAUGGGGUUAGCGCAAGCGAAGCUCUUGAUCGAAGCCCCGGUAAACGGCGGCCGUAACUAUAACGGUCCUAAGGUAGCGAAAUUCCUUGUCGGGUAAGUUCCGACCUGCACGAAUGGCGUAAUGAUGGCCAGGCUGUCUCCACCCGAGACUCAGUGAAAUUGAACUCGCUGUGAAGAUGCAGUGUACCCGCGGCAAGACGGAAAGACCCCGUGAACCUUUACUAUAGCUUGACACUGAACAUUGAGCCUUGAUGUGUAGGAUAGGUGGGAGGCUUUGAAGUGUGGACGCCAGUCUGCAUGGAGCCGACCUUGAAAUACCACCCUUUAAUGUUUGAUGUUCUAACGUUGACCCGUAAUCCGGGUUGCGGACAGUGUCUGGUGGGUAGUUUGACUGGGGCGGUCUCCUCCUAAAGAGUAACGGAGGAGCACGAAGGUUGGCUAAUCCUGGUCGGACAUCAGGAGGUUAGUGCAAUGGCAUAAGCCAGCUUGACUGCGAGCGUGACGGCGCGAGCAGGUGCGAAAGCAGGUCAUAGUGAUCCGGUGGUUCUGAAUGGAAGGGCCAUCGCUCAACGGAUAAAAGGUACUCCGGGGAUAACAGGCUGAUACCGCCCAAGAGUUCAUAUCGACGGCGGUGUUUGGCACCUCGAUGUCGGCUCAUCACAUCCUGGGGCUGAAGUAGGUCCCAAGGGUAUGGCUGUUCGCCAUUUAAAGUGGUACGCGAGCUGGGUUUAGAACGUCGUGAGACAGUUCGGUCCCUAUCUGCCGUGGGCGCUGGAGAACUGAGGGGGGCUGCUCCUAGUACGAGAGGACCGGAGUGGACGCAUCACUGGUGUUCGGGUUGUCAUGCCAAUGGCACUGCCCGGUAGCUAAAUGCGGAAGAGAUAAGUGCUGAAAGCAUCUAAGCACGAAACUUGCCCCGAGAUGAGUUCUCCCUGACCCUUUAAGGGUCCUGAAGGAACGUUGAAGACGACGACGUUGAUAGGCCGGGUGUGUAAGCGCAGCGAUGCGUUGAGCUAACCGGUACUAAUGAACCGUGAGGCUUAACCUU
rnacentral:rRNA from 1 species